rnacentral:RNase_P_RNA from 1 species
CCCCCCCGGAGACAGGGGCAAGGGUGCAACGGUGAGGUAAGAGCUCACCAGCGGCCGGGUGACCGGCCGGCUGUGCAAACCCCACCCGGAGCAAGGCUAAGCAGGGAGCGGGCGGCCCGUCCAACGCUCCCGGGUAGGCUGCAAAGAGAGCCACGGCGACGUGGCGCUCGAGAGGGUCGCGGAGACGCGGCUCCCAGAGAGAUGGUCGCCGCCCGAGUCCGCUCCGGCGGGCUCGGGGCACAGAAUCCGGCUUACAGGCCGGCUCCUCUC